rnacentral:rRNA from 1 species
AUGGCGGUCUUGGCGGCCAACAAAGGGGUCACGGUGACCACGACGAUGAACAGGGGCGCGUCACCAUGGCGGGGAGGCGGCGUGCCCGUUUCAUUUGUCACGGGAAAACACGGCAGCAGCAGGAAGGACAACUCUGGUGUGGGGCUGCCCAGUUCUUGCCGGAGCCAUGGCCAGAGGCGGGCGGCGCGGCUUCCUGAGGAGCCUAGGGCGGCCAUGCUGGAGAGAGAGGUGCGGGCGGGAGGAGGCGCCCUCGUGUGUGGCCGCGGCGUCGAGCACGGGAGGAGGGCAAGGCCACGAUGUGGCAGCGGGGAACUUGGCAGAGCCGGCCAUCCAUGGCUGAACCAAAAAUGCACGGUGCGCAGGCAAAGGAACGAGGAAGCAGAGGGGAGGCUUCAUGCGGAGAAGAGUUGGCAGGGCGCGGCGCUCGCCGGAGUCGAGGCCGAAGGGGGCGGUUCGAGGGUGGUGAUGCCAUGGCCGAGAGGGAGAGAUGGGUGUCGAGGGAGAGAAGUGAACGGCGCGUGGAGCUCUCCCUCCCUUUUCUGA